UACGCAGGGUGCAAGCGUUGUCCGGAAUUAUUGGGCGUAAAGAGCUCGUAGGCGGUUUGUCGCGUCUGCUGUGAAAACCCGAGGCUCAACCUCGGGCCUGCAGUGGGUACGGGCAGACUAGAGUGCGGUAGGGGAGAUUGGAAUUCCUGGUGUAGCGGUGGAAUGCGCAGAUAUCAGGAGGAACACCAAUGGCGAAGGCAGAUCUCUGGGCCGUAACUGACGCUGAGGAGCGAAAGCAUGGGGAGCGAACAGG
rnacentral:rRNA from 1 species